rnacentral:rRNA from 1 species
CCUACGGGAGGCAGCAGUGGGGGAUAUUGCACAAUGGGGGAAACCCUGAUGCAGCGACGCCGCGUGGGGGAAGAAGUAUUUCGGUAUGUAAAGCCCUAUCAGUAGGGAAGAAGAAAUGACGGUACCUGAGUAAGAAGCACCGGCUAAAUACGUGCCAGCAGCCGCGGUAAUACGUAGGGUGCAAGCGUUAUCCGGAUUUACUGGGUGGAAAGGGAGAGCAGGCGGCACGGCAAGCCAGAUGUGAAAGCCCGCGGCCCAACCGUGGGACUGCAUUGGGCACUGCCGGGCUGGAGUGCCGGAGAGGUAGGCGGAAUUCCUGGUGUAGCGGUGAAAUGCGUAGAUAUUAGGAGGAACACCAGUGGCGAAGGCGGCCUACUGGACGGUGACUGACGCUGAGGCUCGAAAGCGUGGGGAGCAAACAGGAUUAGAUACCCUUGUAGUC